UACGUAGGUGGCAAGCGUUGUCCGGAAUUAUUGGGCGUAAAGCGUCUGUAGGUGGUUUCUAAAGUCUUCUGUUAAAGAUCCGGGCUUAACCCAGUAAAAGCAGUAGAAACUUAGAAGCUAGAGUACGGUAGGGGCAGAGGGAACUCCCGGUGUAGCGGUGAAAUGCGUAGAUAUCGGGAAGAACACCGAUGGCGAAAGCGCUCUGCUGGGCCGAAACUGACACUGAGAGACGAAAGCUAGGGGAGCGAAAGGG
rnacentral:rRNA from 1 species